CCCGCAACCCGGCAGUGCUUCUUUGAAUGAACGUUUGUGUGGAGUGUUUGGUGCGUGUUGUGUGAGUGAAUGUGUUUGAAUGUAUGUGGAGAGAUGUGUGUUUGAUUGUCUGUGUUGUUCGUAUAAUUCUUAAAAAUCUACACCGUGAUCUUAUUUGAUCCAAUCGGAAUUCUGCCCUGGUCCGAUUUGGAAAUGAUAAAAUCCGAUAUGCGAGCCAGCUUGGCGGUGUGCAUGAGGCAUCUCACAAACUUUGGGGCAUACACAAUUGAGAUUGUGGUUUGAAGUGAUGAAUUGAUCAGAUAUACUAGUUCGGAAGAGGCUUUGGGUUCCAACCCCCUGUUUUCUCCCGGACAAUGAGUAUAGAGGCGAUUCUGAUCCUA